AAACUGCAGUCAAAGAUAGCUUUAUUCGAACGAAACAGCCUUGCUUUUAAGCCUCCCUCAACCCAGCCCCCAUGGACGCAGAUGCUGCAAAAGACGCGUACUCACAAACCCCCGUAGGCUAUCUCCCUUAGCCGGAAUGCUGGCUAAUUGUGAGCCGUUUCGGAUGUGGCAGGAAAUGGUGUCGCUACACUUAGGUUGUACAAGAUCACCAUAAUUACAUUUCAAAAGCUAACAAACUAACAUAAAAUACAUUUUAAUUAAAUACUGACCAAUUAUUUCCCAAAGCCACAGGGAGCCGCAGCACAGAGGUGAAAGAGCCACAAAUGGCUCGGGAGCCGCAGGUUGCCGACCCCCGGUUUAGUGGGAUUUUUUUUUCCUUCUUAUAAAUAGAAAAUUUGCAUUCUUUUGUAUGAAUUGUCAAGAGGAGUUGAUGUUCUCUGUUUAUAUAUACACUAACCUAAUUAUAUUAUACAUGAUUUUGACAGUGGAUAUCCUUUUUGUUUGUACAUUCAUUGUAUUAUGUAUUUGAUAUAACUUAUCCUCUAAUUUGUAUCUAUUCAUAUAUUUUUAAAAUCAAUAAAAAAGAUUGAAAAUGAACAAGCUUGAUCACCUAGCUAAAGGUGUAAAAGGAAUAGAAUGAUUUUCAUAUCAAAAGUAUUAAUUUGCAUGGACUUUUAACAGGAUGCAAGAGGACUGAACAAUCAAUCCUUAACAUUCAGUAAACUUGGCACCCCUUUUUCAGUAUCCUCAAACAUCAACAUUAACUUACCUAGGCCAUUCCAAUAAAUACUGUGACUACAUGAGCAGGUAAGAGGCGAGUGUCUUAGUUAAAAUACCCCGAUAACUCAAAGACAUCCUGUCUGUCUAAAUAUUCAAAGCAGUUACUCAUCUGAGGUAAACCAACUGCAUCUCCCAAAUGUGCAAUUUCUACCACUGAGGACAAGGGUUGCCUGGGAACACCACAACAAGCAGGUUCUCCUCUAAAUCAUACAUUGUUCUAACUUGGAAAUACAUGACUCUUUAUUCAUUAUCACAGGGUAUAAAUCCUGGAACUCCCUUGUCAAAAAAUUGAGUGCACCUUCAUCAAUCGGUCUUCAAAUUUCAAGCUUACUAAAUUUCUCAAUGAUAAUUAUGGAAAGGAAAUAAAUACAGACCUUGCCAAAGCUAUCAUAUCUUACCUGAAGCUACAUAAAUGCACAAUCAUUUACAACAGUCACAAUUUUGAAAGAGAUUAAAAGGUUAUUUACAUUCUACGAGGGUGGUUGAGGCCAAAUUGGCCUGAAAACUUUUCCAGUUUUCUUCAAGUAAGUUUUCUUUAUUUUACAGAAAUAUGACACCUUCCCUUUUGGAACUCAAUUAACUAGAGGGAAUUGAAUUUAUAUUCUUGGCUUCUAAAGCAAAAGUGGUGCCACACAGCCAAAUCAAAAACUUCAGUGAGCACGAGUCAGAAGACUGUGGGUUCAAGUUGCACCACAUAUUUUCUCAGCCAACAUUCCCACUGCAACAUCUGGGGGAUUUGUAUCCUGGUCCACUUUUCAAGAGAAAACAGGUCUUAUGGCACUCUUCAAAACAACAGAAAAUGUAUUUGUGUUCUGCCCAAUUUUAACAUUUAAUCAAGAUUAUAUAAAACCAGCAGUGAGAUUAAAAACCAUUAUCUCACUUGCUGAAAAUUUGCAUGCGCAUAGACCAUAAUCCCAACUGGGGGGAAAAAAAAGCGGCGGCAAGCAGCACCUGCCUGAACAGGUACGGGAUUCUCACACAGCGCCACUUUAUCGCAGCCAUUUCAGGGUCGAAUAACUUCCACCCCGGUGUAUUAUCUGCAUCAUCGCUUCUUUAUUUGCAAGAACUAUGUUUACUUAAGUGCGAGAUUCAAGUACAGCUGGAAGUGAAUUACAAGAAUUGCCCGAUACCGACCCAUCACCUACGCCUGGCGACUGUCAAUCACCCGCAUCGAACAGCUGUGCCCAUCCUCAAGAGAGCGCCAAAACAUUUUUUUUGCAGGAACUCGUCGUGCGGCUGUAAAGUUUUGUCAGGUUCUGCUGACAUACCCUGUGCAUCACUUUGUAAAACGGUUUCCCUGAGCUAAUUGAUGGCGUGGGCAGGAAGUGAUCCGCAACCGCACUGGCCUCCUCUUUGCAAAUUAUCCGGCCCGAUUGAACAGGCCGGCAAAAGCCAGGACCUCGAUUUCUUCGUGGCGGCUGUGCUGCCUGCGGGCGGUAGUGGGGAGAGAAUGGGAACGGCAAUCCCUAAGCAGUUCUGCCGCCUCUUCCAGAGACCACUCAUCAGCCUUACCCUGGAAGCUUUUGAGAGGGUUCAGUGGAUCAAAGAAAUUGUGGUGGUGGUGUCACAACAGAACUUUGAAUUCAUGAAUUCUGUAAUAGGCCAAUUCGGUCACUCACGCACAACAGUUGUUGUAGGUGGGCUUACUCGUCACCAGUCUAUUUUUAAUGGGCUAAAAGCAUUUGUGGAAAAUCAGCCUCAUCAGUCAUGGCUGAUGAAACCUGAAGUUGUAAUUAUCCACGAUGCAGUGAGACCUUUUGUGGAAGAAGAUAUUCUCUACAGAGUGGCCACUGCUGCAAAAGAGCAUGGGGCUGCGGGAGCUAUCAGACCUCUUGUUUCUACUGUCGUUGCAACCAACCCAGAAGGCUACCUUGACCAUUCACUGGAACGUGCCAAGUACAGGGCGAGUGAAAUGCCCCAAGCCUUCAUAUUUGAUGUCAUUUACAAAGCUUAUCAGCAGUGCACAGAUUAUGAUCUUGAGCAUGGGACGGAGUGUCUUCAUUUAGCUCUGCAGUACUGUGGAGUCUCUGCAAAGCUCCUUGAUGGACCACCUGAUUUGUGGAAGGUGACGUACAAACGGGACCUCUAUGCAGCUGAAUCAAUUGUCAAGGAAAAUCUUUCCAAGAGUGUUUGUAUCAUCACUGCAACACAAGAAGAACCAAUUCAAUUAGGCAUUUUGCUACAAGAGGUCUUACAACUGGUGAUGAAGCAGGUGGAUUUGCUGAAGUGGUCAUCGAGUAAAGAGGCCAUCUCUUCAGGACUAUAUUAUAACUUUAUUUACAUAAAUGUCAACAACUUCGAAAUAUUUAAGGAAAUUGUGCAGCUGGUGGAAGCAAUUAAAAAUGUUAAGCUUUCAGCUUUGUAUCCUGUGGUUGUGACUGUGGUACACUUGAACAAUACGGAAGCUUCAUCUUCUGGUAUUCAAAAGGAUGAUUUUGCUCAUAUGAAACAGCUGGCAAAGGAGGCAAUUGGAAAAAAUGUUCUUAUUUACAAUCUACUGAUUAAUUGUACACAGAGCAUGGACAAAGUUCAAGACUCUGUGAAGGAAGGAGCCUUGAUCAUCGAAACAUUAAUAAAGCAGCGAAGUCCUGUUCUAGCUGGGCAGCUCCUUGUGACAGGACUAAAUGAAAGAGCCAAGAAGAGCUGCAAAGAGUAGUAUAAAAAGACUGGAAAAUAUGAAAGGAACAAGAUUUGAGAAAAAUAAUCUAAACAGCGGGGAGAAAACAUUGGCGUGGGAAGUUGAUGAUGGCAAUUGUUCAACAAAGAAUAACAUUCACACAAGAGUGUUAAAGAUAAUCAACCAGGAACCAAGGUGUUCUAAGGAGGAAUGUAGUGCCAGAGAGAUGGUAUCUGCCAUUGACCUGUUGCUCCGGUAGGCAAAUUGCAAAGCGUCGAAGUUGACUGGAACUGAGAUUUGAAGCAACAGCCUCAAGAAUUUUCCAUUAACAGGAGCUGGGACUUGGAGACAGAGGCAUUAGUUAAGUUGAUUGGCUAAUAAGCUAUUUAACAGCAGUCAAUAAAAAGCAAUGGCCAUGUUGAACAGCCAUUAUGACAGUGGGACAAUGUAAGAGUGAGGAGCUGAGGCUUUGGUGCAAAAGCUUCAGUGUGAAGAGAAGUAAGUGGCUCAAGUGUGGGGAAUGAGAACAACUCUUUGAAAAAGGCUUUGGUGAGGUAUAAUUGGGUAAUGUUGCAUUUUUAUUAUUCAUACUUAUCAAUGAUUCACUAUAGCUUAUAUUCUUAUGAGUCCUGAUGAAGGGUUUGGCCCAAAAUGUUGACUGUACUCUUUUCCAUAGAUGUUGCCUGACCUUCUGAGUUCCUGCAACAUUUUGUGUGUGUUGCCUGGAUUUCCAGCAUCUGCAGAUUUUCUCUUGUUUUCAAUUUAGCCAGGAUGGAAAUUAGAGCAGUAGAAAGCUUCUCCGUAAGAUGUGAGAAUUCAGAGGACUGCAUGGUCUCCCUGAUGAUUACAUCAACAGGAAGUACACUCAGAUGCAGUACCUAGCAGACUAGGUCAAUUAACUGGAGUUGGAUCUGGAAAUAUUCAGGAGUAACUGUGCAGUUGAGGCCUUCGUAGAUGAAACUUUUACUGAAGUGAUUGCUCCCAAGGUACAAGCUUCUGGUUGGAGUAUUAAAGGGAGUGGGUAGUCAGUGUAGGGUUGAACUGUGAGCACUCCCCUCAGCAACAAGGAUGAACUAGGAAAAGUUGAUUGGGAGCCAGCUGUUCUUGGGCAAGUCCACAUCUGAUGUUUGGAGGGUGCUUAAAGAUCAACAGCACAGGGUACAAGACAGGUACUGUAUGUUCCAGUAAUAAGGAAGGACAGGGAUGGGGGCAACACACAAGAAAUGGUGGAGGAACUCAGCAAACCAAGCAACAUCUAUGGAAAUGAGUACAUAUGACAUUUCAAGCCAAAACCCUUUGGCAGGACUUGUGGAUUACUACACAGUGAAGUCUCUUACAGGGAUAUCUGUCCUGAAGAAGUUUGAAUCUUCUUCCAGCAACUGCAGAUUUUCUCCUGUUUUUGAGGACAGGGAUGGUAAGACCAGGGAACCUUGGCUGCUGAGAGAGGUGGUGAAUUUAGUUAAGAAUUAGAGGAGAAUGAAUGUAAGGUUUAGGAUUGUAGAACUAAAGCAAAACCAGAAAAGAAUUUGAAGCACAUUAGGUGAGCCUGGAAGGGUCAUGACGUCCUUGGCAUGUAAGAUUAAAAAGAAUUUCAGGGCAUUCUAUGCAUAUAUGGAUAGCAAGGGGAUAACUAGCAAGCAGAUAGGGCCAAUGGAGGUUAAUGGAGAGAAAGUACCUGGAGGCAGAGGAUAAGGCUGUGGUCCUAAAUUAGUACUUUGUAUCUGUAUUUACCAAGGAGAAGAACAUGGAGGAUAGGAUGAUAGGAAGAUCAGUGUGGAGCAUGUUAAUUUGUAAGGCAAUUUCAAGAUAAUAAAGGGGAUAGUAUAAGGUCUCUUAAAGAACAUUAAGGUGGAUAAGUCCCUAUUGUUUGUUGGAAUGUACUGGAGGUUAUUGAAAGAGGCAAGACAUGAAAUUGCUUGGGCCUUAUCUAGCCAUUUUUGAGGUCCUGGAUGACUGGUGAAUGGUGCUCUUUUUUGAAGAGAGAAACCAGGAAUAAUCCUGAAAACUAUAGGCCAGUAUCUCACAUCAGUUACUUGAUCAGAAUCAGGUUUAAUAUCAGUGGCAUAUGUCGUGAAAUUUGUUGUUUUGUGGUGGCAGUGUAUUGCAACACAUAAUAAAAAUUCUAUAAAUUACAAUAAGAAAUACAUAAAAAUUAAAUAAGUAGUGCAAUAAGCAAUGCAAAUAAAUAAGUGAGGUAGUGUGCAUGGGUUUAUUAUCAAUUUAGUAAUUUGAUAGCAAAGAGGAAGAAGCUGUUCCUGAAAUGUUGAGUGUGUGUCUUCAAGCUCUUGUACCACCACCUUGAUGGUAGCUAUGAGAAGAGGGCAUGGAGUGGUGGGGGUGUGUGGUUUUAAUGGUAGAUGGUACCUUUUUUGAGCAAUUGGAAAGCCAUAGCUUUAUGUGAGGCAGGUAAUGCCUUACGAACUUGAUUUGAGUUUAUCGAGGAAGUGAUGAAUGUUGUGGAUGUUAUCUACAUGGAUUUUAGUAAAGCCUUCAACAAGGACCACACUCAGAAGAAGGUUCAUCCAGAAGAUUAAGAUGUAAGGAUUCCAAGGUGAAUUGUGUUGGAUUCAGAAUUGACCUGCCCAGAGAAGCUAGAGGGUAGUAAUUGAUGGGAAUUAUUCAGGCUGGUGGAUUGUGACUAGUAAUGUUCCUGAGGGAUCUGUAAUGGGACCUCUGCUAUUUAUGAUGUACAGUAUUUAAAUGACAUAGAUUAAAAUAUAGAUGACUAUGCUAGUUUGCAGGCAAUAUGAAGUUUGGUGGUGUUGUGGAUUGCAUAGAAUACUGGGUAGGGAUAUAGUGGCUAUAGAUCACUUGUAGAUAUACAGUAGAUGUAGAAGUGGCAAAUGUAGCUUACACAGCCUAAUGAGAAUUACUCCACUUCGGGAGAUUAAAUUUAAAAGGACAGUACAUUUUAAAGGCAAAACCUUAAUGGUGGUAUGCAGAGGAAUCUUGGGUCCUAGUCCAUAGCUCACUGAAAGUGGUUGAUAGGGAGGUAAAGAAGGCAUAUGACAUGCCUGCCUUUACUAGUUCGGGAGUUGAGAGUAGGUUGCAGCCUUCUAAAACUCUUGUUGGGCUGCUUUUGGAGUAUUGUAUUCAGCUCCAUUCACCCAUUAUGCAAAGAAUGUGGAGAGGGUGCAGAAAAGGUUUAUCAGGAUGCUGCCUAGAUUAGAGGGCGUGUGAUACAGGGAGAGGUUGCGUGAACCUCUCUGGCAUGGUGGAGGCUGAGGGGAGAUCUGUGAGAGGUUUUUAAGAUUAUAAGAGACUGAGACAAGCAGUAUCUUUUUCCUAGCGUUGACAUUUCUAAUAGCAGAGGGCAUGCAAUUAAGGUGAAAGGGUUUAAGUUCAAAGGGGGUGUGCACGGGAAUUUUUAAGAGUGGUGCAUGCCUGGAAUGCUCUGCAAGAGGUAGUGGUGGUGGAAGACAGGUGUUAUAGAUGCUUUCAUGGGGCUCUUGGGUAGACAGUUGAAUGUGCAAGAAAUGGAAUGAUAUAAACAUUCUGCAGGCAGAAGGGAUUAUUUUAAUUAGACAUUUGGUUGUAUUCGAUUCUGGUGUAGAAUUGUUAUUCUUCUAGCUUAACUUUUGUAUGCUUGCUAUGCUCUGUAAGAUCAUCAAGGUCCAAAACCUGGGUCUUUGUACCACCCCUCUGCAGCUGGCUCCAUGACUUGCUCACCAGGAAACACCAGUCUGUGGAUUGGGAAUAACAAUCGCUUCCUCACUGACAAUCAACGCUUGUACGCAUCAAGGAUGUAUGCUUAGCCCUCUGCGCUAUUCUCUCUGCACCCACGACUGUGUGGCUAGGCACAGCUCAAACCCCAUCGAUAAAUUUGAUGAUGACAAGCUAUUGUUGGAGAACUUCAGAUGAUGACAAGGAGGCGUACAGGAGCAAGAUACAGUAGAUCAGCUGACUGAGUGAUGUCAAAACAACAAUCUUGCACUCAACAUCAGUAAGACCAAGGAAUUGAUUGUAGACUUCAGGAAGGAUAAGUUUAGGGAAUGUAAAGCAGACUUCACUGAGGGCUUGAGCAGUUUCAAGUUCCAGGGUGUCAACACCUCUAAGGAUCUAUCCUGGGCCCAACAUAUCGAUGCAAUUACAAAGACACAAUAGCAGCUAUAUUUCAUUAGGAGUUUGAGGAGAUUUGGUAUGUCACCAAAGGCUCUCGCAAAUUUCUAAAAUGUACUGUGGGGAGCAUUCUAAUUGGAAUGGACGGGCCACUGCACAGGAUUGGAAAAAUCUGAAGAAUGUUGUAUUUUAAUUUUAUAUAUACUUAUUGUAAUUUAGUUUUUCUAUGUAUUGCAAUGUACUGUUGCUGCUAAACAACAGAUUUCAUAACACAUGCAAGUGAUAUCGAACCUGAUUCUGAUUGCUUAUAAUUUUUUAUCAAAUCACUUGUAUUUAUAAUUGUUCAGUAAAUUUUCAAGUAAUUGUAAUAUAGCUGAUUCUGUGUUUUCUGAGUUCAUCAGUUUUUUUUUCUGCAGUAGGUGCCACAUAACUUGAAUCUGGCUAUUUUGUGGGCUUCACCUUGUCAAUGAAAUGUACUUUUACCUCUAGUCUGAGUAUGAGAUGACUGUAAUGUCUUUUUUAUUGUCUUCUUUCCCUGCUUGAUCAUUCUUUGUUCCUGUAACAUUUAAUGAAG